CUGAGUGUGGACCCUCUGGGUCCAACCUCCCACCCGUGUCUCUUGAAUACCCUGUUGCUUUGGCGGGCCCACCGAGAAUUCUCGGUCGCCGGGGGGCAUCAUGCCCCCGGGCCCGCGUCCGCCAGAGCACUCUAUGAACCCGAAUGAAGAUAGACUGUCUGAGUACAAUGAAAAUUAUUUA
rnacentral:misc_RNA from 1 species